rnacentral:lncRNA from 1 species
UUAAAGGUGAAUUUUUAAGCCUGUUCUAGGCUGGGCUUUUCUUGCUCUCUGGAUUAAAGGUGAAUUUUUAAAGCAUCUUCUAGGCUGGGCUUUUCUUUGGAUUAAUGGUGAAUUUUUAAAGCCUGUUCUAGGCUGGGAUUUCCUGCUCUCUGGAUUAAAGGUGAAUUUUUAAAGCUUUUUUGUAACCAAAGAGCAGCUGGGCGUGGGGGAGCUCCUGCACCGUGUGUAAAGUGUGAGUAGCUCAGGCUGCCUCAAUAAAGUGUGAGAAGA